AGUGAACGCUGGCGGUAGGCCUAACACAUGCAAGUCGAACGGCAGCACAGGAGAGCUUGCUCUCUGGGUGGCGAGUGGCGGACGGGUGAGGAAUACAUCGGAAUCUACUCUGUCGUGGGGGAUAACGUAGGGAAACUUACGCUAAUACCGCAUACGACCUACGGGUGAAAGCAGGGGACCUUCGGGCCUUGCGCGAUUGAAUGAGCCGAUGUCGGAUUAGCUAGUUGGCGGGGUAAAGGCCCACCAAGGCGACGAUCCGUAGCUGGUCUGAGAGGAUGAUCGGCCAAACUGGAACUGAGACACGGUCCAGACUCCUACGGGAGGCAGCAGUGGGGAAUAUUGGACAAUGGGCGCAAGCCUGAUCCAGCCAUACCGCGUGGGUGAUGAAGGCCUUCGGGUUGUAAAGCCCUUUUGUUGGGAAAGAAAUCCAGCUGGCUAAUACCCGGUUGGGAUGACGGUACCCAAAGAAUAAGCACCGGCUAACUUCGUGCCAGCCGCCGCCGUAA
rnacentral:rRNA from 1 species